CAAACCACACAAAACAAGCUACAACAAAUUAAGAAUUUUGCAAGCAGCAUAAAAAUAAAUUUUUGACAGCGGCGUAUAAAAGAAACGCUUCAUUCAUGGAAAACAAAAACAAUUUAGAAAUUGCU